rnacentral:lncRNA from 1 species
AUGUUGGACAGCUGGCUUAAACCUGGACUCUCUCUUUCUAGAGAAGCAGAGCCUGUUGAGGAUGAGAGUCCACUGAGGGAGGAGAAUGCAGAGGAGGAGGAGGAGGAGGAAGAGGAGGUGGAGGAGGAGGAGGAGGAGGAGGAGGAGGAGGAGAUAGAUGAAGAGGGGUGGGGAGAGAUGGAGGAGGAAGAGGAAGAUGACUGGGAGAAUGAGGAGAAUGAAGAGACACCGAUCACCAGUGAGGAGGGUGACAUCGGUUCUGGGGAGUCAUGGACAGAGGAAGGUAUGGAUGUUGUGGGAGCUACGAGAGGAGCACCUUCUGAGCCCUUAGGCCUACAGUGGCACGCGUGCGCGUUCACACACAUACACGCACACGCACGCACACACACACACACACACACGCACACACACACACACACACACACACACACACACACAAAGCAGCUUUAUUAGUGUACCCUCUAAUUUCAUUCAAUCAUUUCAAACACAUUUCAAGUCUUAUCAAUCUCAUAUUGCCACACUUUCGAUGGGUUUAUGCAAACAUUUAGGUAAACCCUUUAUUGUGGUCUGGUAGAUCCCAACAUCAAAGCCUUUUCAUUUUAACCACUGUGAGCUGGAAUGUAUCCAAUAUAUGAAAUAAAUUUCUGUUUUGGUUUUUGACAUUUCUACUUUGUAUUUGUAAAAAAAAAAAGAAAAACUGUCAAAAAAUGAUAAAUUACAAAAACGAUAAAUGAUAUAUAACAAAAACGUUAUCUCUUUUCUUAAUGUGUCCCCCUCCCAAAAGAGUUUAACAUAUCUCCAGUCAGCCAAUUUGCCAUUUCUGGAUUUGAACGGUAGGAGAAACAUCGAUUUAUUUGAACCGUACUUUAACUGUACUAAUUAUAACUUAAAGCUCAAUGGAACACAGGUGAUUUUAGAAUUCAACUUUUUUAACUAUACUGCUCCCUUUACCCACUAGAGGGCGCUAACGUAUAAUUUAAAACGCUUUAAGCGUGAUUAUAGGCACCUUAAGAUAUCUGAACUCGAUAAACAUUAGAGGCGCAAGGGGGAGGACCAGUUCGGUAGUCUUCGUGCUAUGAUUGGUCGGAAUCUUAACAACAACCCGCCCCCGGAUUUUGUGUACGGAAUAUGAUUGGGUCAUACGAUAAAGAGCUCUAGAGUGCAAAGAUAGGUAACACACCGUCUAAACGAAAGGGGGACAAGAACUCUUAGUUCUAAUACAUUGACAAAAAAGUUUUCCGAAUUAAUUUAGGUCGCCACAGACACUUCUCAAAUAAACAUUUGGACCAGGGCUGCCAAGUUAUUUCUUUUGAAUCCUUGAUCAUUUUGUCCCUCUGGCCCCGCCCCUCUCACAGUUCCCGUACACAUGACCCACGUCACAUGACGUAGGGUCAUGAUACUUCCUGGUUCAGACAAACGGGCUGGCUUCACGGAACGGGGCUAUCU